UACGGCGGCUAUAGCGGAGGGGAAACGCCCGGUCCCAUUCCGAACCCGGAAGCUAAGCCCUCCAGCGCCGAUGGUACUGCACUCGACAGGGUGUGGGAGAAUAGGACACCGCCGUAC
rnacentral:rRNA from 1 species